rnacentral:rRNA from 1 species
GAUGAACGCUAGCGGCAGGCCUAAUACAUGCAAGUCGAACGGUAAGGCCCUUUCGGGGUACACGAGUGGCGGACGGGUGCGUAACGCGUAUGCAACAUGCCUUCCAGCGGGGGAUAUACCAGGGAAACUUGGCGCAAUACCCCAUAGAAUUACGGGACCGCAUGGUCUUGUGAUUAAAACUCCGGUGCUGGGAGAUUGGCAUGCGUGACAUUAGCUAGUUGGCGGGGUAACGGCCCACCAAGGCGACGAUGUCUAGCUGGUCUGAGAGGAUGAUCAGCCACACUGGGACUGAGACACGGCCCAGACUCCUACGGGAGGCAGCAGUAGGGAAUAUUGCUCAAUGGGCGAAAGCCUGAAGCAGCAACGCCGCGUGUGCGAUGAAGGCC